GAACCAAGUGGGCUAUCUGGCUGUGACAUCUGUAACACAGUGAUCAACAGGGUUGAUUCAGCCAAUCUGGCUAUCUAUACUGAUGUCCCCUUCCUCCCUCACUGCUCCAUGGGAGGGACUACAGAAGCUGCUGAAUACUGGGUAAAAAAGAACGAACUUCCUGGGGUAUAAGAGGACUGGUCUUCAUUCAAGAAUAUACGAGCAGUUGUGCUCUCCUGUUCAUAUCUCUAAAAAAGCUCUCGAUAUCCAUUAUGGUGUUUGAUUGUUCCCACUUCUAAAAGGGAGAGAAAGCUUUCUGUUGGCAAUUUGUAAUCAAAUUUUUCAUUCUUU
rnacentral:snRNA from 1 species